UACGUAGGGGGGCUAGCGUUGUCCGGAUUUAUUGGGCGUAAAGAGCGUGUAGGCGGCCAGGUAGGUCCGGUGUGAAAACUCGAGGCUUAACCUCGAGAUGUCAUCGGAAACCAUCUGGCUAGAGUCCGGAAGAGGAAAGUGGAAUUCCUGGUGUAGCGGUGAAAUGCGCAGAUAUCGGGAAGAACACCCGUGGCGAAGGCGGUUCUCUGGGACGGUACUGACGCUGAGACGCGAAAGCGUGGGGAGCGAACAGG
rnacentral:rRNA from 1 species